AUGCAAGUCGAACGAGAGAAUUGCUAGCUUGCUAAUAAUUCUCUAGUGGCGCACGGGUGAGUAACACGUGAGUAACCUGCCCCCGAGAGCGGGAUAGCCCUGGGAAACUGGGAUUAAUACCGCAUAGUAUCGAAAGAUUAAAGCAGCAAUGCGCUUGGGGAUGGGCUCGCGGCCUAUUAGUUAGUUGGUGAGGUAACGGCUCACCAAGGCGAUGACGGGUAGCCGGUCUGAGAGGAUGUCCGGCCACACUGGAACUGAGACACGGUCCAGACACCUACGGGUGGCAGCAGUCGAGAAUCAUUCACAAUGGGGGAAACCCUGAUGGUGCGACGCCGCGUGGGGGAAUGAAGGUCUUCGGAUUGUAAACCCCUGUCAUGUGGGAGCAAAUUAAAAAGAUAGUACCACAAGAGGAAGAGACGGCUAACUCUGUGCCAGCAGCCGCGGUAAUACAGAGGUCUCAAGCGUUGUUCGGAAUCACUGGGCGUAAAGCGUGCGUAGGCUGUUUCGUAAGUCGUGUGUGAAAGGCGCGGGCUCAACCCGCGGACGGCACAUGAUACUGCGAGACUAGAGUAAUGGAGGGGGAACCGGAAUUCUCGGUGUAGCAGUGAAAUGCGUAGAUAUCGAGAGGAACACUCGUGGCGAAGGCGGGUUCCUGGACAUUAACUGACGCUGAGGCACGAAGGCCAGGGGAGCGAAAGGGAUUAGAUACCCCUGUAGUCCUGGCAGUAAACGGUGCACGCUUGGUGUGCGGGGAAUCGACCCCCUGCGUGCCGGAGCUAACGCGUUAAGCGUGCCGCCUGGGGAGUACGGUCGCAAGAUUAAAACUCAAAGAAAUUGACGGGGACCCGCACAAGCGGUGGAGUAUGUGGCUUAAUUCGAUGCAACGCGAAGAACCUUACCUGGGCUUGACAUGUAAUGAACAACAUGUGAAAGCAUGCGACUCUUCGGAGGCGUUACACAGGUGCUGCAUGGCCGUCGUCAGCUCGUGUCGUGAGAUGUUUGGUUAAGUCCAGCAACGAGCGCAACCCCUGUUGCCAGUUACCAGCACGUGAAGGUGGGGACUCUGGCGAGACUGCCCAGAUCAACUGGGAGGAAGGUGGGGACGACGUCAGGUCAGUAUGGCCCUUAUGCCCAGGGCUGCACACGUACUACAAUGCCCAGUACAGAGGGGGCCGAAGCCGCGAGGCGGAGGAAAUCCUGAAAACUGGGCCCAGUUCGGACUGUAGGCUGCAACCCGCCUACACGAAGCCGGAAUCGCUAGUAAUGGCGCAUCAGCUACGGCGCCGUGAAUACGUUCCCGGGUCUUGUACACACCGCCCGUCACAUCAUGGAAGCCGGUCGCACCCGAAGUAUCUGAAGCCAACCGCAAGGAGGCAGG
rnacentral:rRNA from 1 species